AAAGGAAUUGACGGGGGCCCGCACAAGCAGCGGAGCGUGUGGUUUAAUUCGAUGCAACGCGAAGAACCUUACCAAGGCUUGAAAUGACGGAAGUAGUGAACCGAAAGGGGAACGACCUGUUAAGUCAGGAGCCGCCACAGGUGCUGCAUGGCUGUCGUCAGCUCGUGCUGUGAAGUGUUAGGUUAAGUCCGGUAACGAGCGCAACCCUCGCUGUGUGUUAUAUGUGUCACACGGGACUGCCGGUAUCAAGCCGGAGGAAGGUGGGGAUGACGUCAAGUCAGCAUGGCCUUUAUGUCUGGGGCUACACACACGCUACAAUGGCCAGUACAAUAGGUUGCAAGACCGCGAGGUGGAGCCAAUCCUUAAAGCUGGUCUCAGUUCGGAUUGCAGGCUGCAACUCGCCUGCAUGAAGUCGGAGUUGCUAGUAACCGCGCGUCAGCCAUAGUGCGGUGAAUACGUUCCCGGGCCUU
rnacentral:rRNA from 1 species